UGUUUUUCUUAGUCACAAAUCCUGUCUAUUUUUUGUUUUUUUGUUUUUUUUUGUCAUUAACCCCACUGUCUGUUUUCUCUUCCCUUUUUCAUCUGACUGACGUCAGAGAGAAAAAGAGACGGGCUCAGCAUCUGUGAUUGGACAGAAAAGGCAACACCCUCGGCCCUGGCUUGCUGCCCUAGCCUGGACAGGAUAUACAAGCUCACAGACCAACCUUCAGAUAAGUGCUCACCAACAGCUCUGGGUCAUGACCCAAAGAAUGAGGUCCCGAAUACAAGUGGCUGAAACGCGCUUCCUCUGCAGGACUACUGGCAUAUCACCGCCUCAGGAAGUCCCACAGAGGUUCGAAGUCCUGAACAAGAGGCUCGUGCAACAACAUCAUACAAAACAACAAAUUCCUAUAAAUACAGAUAAAAUGUUAAAACAAAAAGUUGAAAAAGUGAAAAGCCAAGAAUUGCAUUUCCAGGCAAAGGUUUACUAGACUAAAAUGUAACAAGGGUUUAUUACAGGGAGUAUUACAAUUAUUUGUCCUAAUUUUUUUUUUGUUAUUUUUGUUUUAAAAUGAAAAUUUCAAAGCUAAAAACCUUUUUGAAAUAUUCAUGUUAUAGUUUAAAUGAAAACUAUAACACUGGGGAGUCGGUGUCAUUCCAACAACAUUGAAAACAGCCUAAUGUGAUUAGAAAACGGGCCGGUGAGUUCAGAGGCUUCUGAGGGUUAACAGCGUGAAAAAGAACAAACUUGAACUGCAAGAGGUUAGAAAAAGAAAAAAAAGACAAGUUGCAUAAAACUAAGUACCCUGUGCUCAGGGUAUAUGAAAUGAAUAAAAACACUUGAAAGCUGUUUUCAUGCAACAGAAAUUAAUCAACUUUUUAAAGUUAUUCGCAUGAAAUGUUCGCAAAUUCUUCUCUGUCUGUGUAAAAGCAGUGCUGGAACACAUUGUGGUAUCAAACCCUCAAGAGCUUUUGUUGUACACCUGAAAGUAGUUUGUCGUUUCAAAAAAUGGCAGGAAAAAGGCAGUUCUCGCUGGAAGACAAGCUUGAGAGUUGUUUUGUUUUGUUUUUUUAAUCAACAGAUUGCAAAAAAAGUAAAGUUGCAGUCAAUACAGUCUCUUAACCAUCAAAAGUUGCCCAGAAAAUGUCAAAACCUGACACAUCCUACAACAAGGUACAGAAAUCCAGGCUUUUUCCAUAAUUAGCCGAGGGCAGAACAACCAAAAGGUAACCAGAGGGGCCAGCACCAUCACCAGACUUGAACCUACUGAGCUGAGUUUCAGGUAAACUGGACAGAGGAGCAAAACCAAAGCAAAGCAACCUACAAGUUCCAAACACCAAUGGGAACUUCUGCAAAAGACAUGGAAAGAACCCACUGAAGAAUAUUUCAUUUCUAUUAAUCUCUGUAAAAAACAGCUACUUUAAUGAAACAAACCUUUUGAGUACAUUUUGGUCUAUAAACUGAUUUCAGGUUUUCAUAUUAAAACUCCAGUUGCUCAGUUGCACAAACCUUUGAUUGCAGAGAGCUAUAAGACCUCACACUGAAUACCCUUUAAACAAUAAACUGGAAACAUCGGAGGGAUGUGAUGCUUUUGACAGGUAAUGUACGUGCACAAAAGAAUCCAAAUGAAAAUCAAAUUAAAAGUGAACUGUGAUGAAAAUUGGGUUUUUGACA